GCACGGCACACAAAGAAAAUAGUCCGCGCUCAACGGAGAUACGACGAUCGUUUCGAGAAACGUGACACUCGUGACAGUAGUGUUGCAACGUUUCCGAGAGACUUUAAGGGGAUUAAACGUCGCGUGUACUACCACCUACCGGUGUUUAACGAUCCGGUGGUUCGUCCUGUACGUAGAUAGGCGCGAGAAUAUCACUACGCCGCACGUUGUGGAAGGAAGCAGAAAUCGAGUACUGGCAGGAAGUGGGUAGAAGGGGGUACGUCGUUGAGCUAGUUGAUUCGGUGGUGGCUACAUGUGGCUGUCCGCCGGUCGCGAGAACGAGACAUUUCCUAUCGAGGCAUAAGAAGUUACGUUUCCCGACGUUAAUCGAUAUUCGAAGGAAGCCGAAAUCAUGCAGAUGGAUCCGACAACGGUACAGCUUAUCCAGAUUCUAGAGAAGACCGUCUCCUCUGAUAAAAAUGAGUUGGAGGCAGCUCAAGAAUUCUUGGAGCAAGCAGCUCAGACUAAUUUGCCUGAAUUCAUGCAAAGACUCAGCGGCGUGCUGGUUACUGCCACUGCAAGUCCAGUUGCCCGUAUGGCAGCUGGUCUUCAGCUGAAAAAUCAACUUACAUCCAAAGAUACACAAUUGAAAUAUCAAUAUCAACAACGAUGGCUUGCUAUUCCUGUAGAAACCAGGGAAUUUAUUAAGAAGAAUAUUUUUGGGGCACUUGGAACAGAGAACAACAGGCCGAGUUCUGCAGCACAGUGUGUUGCAUCUGUAGCAGUUGCUGAAUUACCUGUUGGUCAAUGGACUAAUGUUAUUCAGCUGUUAGUUAAUAAUGUUGUAAAUCCAAACAGUACAGAGAUGAUGAAAGAAGCUACCCUGGAAGCUAUUGGUUAUAUUUGUCAAGAUAUAGAAAGUGACGUUCUGGUACCUCAGUCAAAUCAAAUCCUCACUGCUAUCAUCCAUGGUAUGAAAGGCUCUAGUACACUGCAUCAUGUUCGUCUCGCGGCUACAAGUGCACUCUAUAAUUCAUUAGAAUUCACCAAAGGAAAUUUCGAGAUAGAGACGGAGAGAAACUUCAUCAUGGAGGUGGUGUGUGAAGCGACGCAGUCUUUAAACACGCAAGUCAAAGUAGCAGCGUUACAGUGUCUCGUGAAAAUUAUGUCUUUGUAUUAUCAGUACAUGGAACCUUACAUGGCUCCAGCACUCUUUCCUAUUACUUUAGAAGCUAUGAAAUCAGAUAUCGAUGAAGUUGCACUGCAAGGAAUUGAAUUCUGGUCGAACGUUUCCGACGAGGAGGUAGAUUUAGCUAUGGAAGAGGGUGAAGCCACCGACGGUGGCCGACCGCCAGUCAAAGUGUCAAGGCAUUACGCGAAAGGCGCUUUACAAUACUUAGUACCUGUAUUGAUGAAGAAGCUAACUAAACAAGAAGAAUUCGACGAUGAAGACGAUUGGAACCCAUCAAAAGCAGCCGGAGUGUGUUUAAUGUUAUUGUCUUCUUGCUGCGACGAAGCCAUCGUCCCGUAUGUUCUUCCAUUUGUCAUGGAAAAUAUCAAGAGUCCGGAUUGGAGGUAUCGAGACGCAGCUCUGAUGGCUUUUGGUUCGAUUCUCGGAGGCGUCGAUCACAAUACUUUGAAACCAUUGGUGGAACAAGCAAUGCCAACGCUUAUCGAGUUAAUGUACGAUGGCAGUGUCGCGGUAAGGGAUACAGCAGCGUGGAUGUUCGGCCGCAUUUGUGAAAUUAUACCGGAAGCAGCUAUCAACGAUACUUACUUGAAACCACUGCUUGAAGCUUUGAUAAAUGGUUUAAAGGCAGAGCCGCGAGUAGCAGCGAACGUCUGUUGGGCUUUCACGGGUCUUGCAGAAGCCAGUUACGAAUCUGCAGAAGCUAUCGAGGGACAGAAUCCGGAAACGUAUUGCAUGUCCCAGUAUUUCGAUUUCAUUAUUCAAAGAUUGUUGGAGACAACUGAUCGGCCAGACGGAGCUCAAGCUAACUUAAGAUCCGCCGCUUACGAAGCACUGAUGGACAUGGUGAAGAAUUCUCCUCAAGACUGUUACAUAACAGUGCAGAAGACGACGAUGGUGAUCCUAGAGAGAUUGCAGCAGGUACUGCAAAUGGAGAACCACAUCCAAACUCACACGGAUCGUGCACAGUACAACGAUUUGCAAUCGCUGUUGUGCGCCACCUUGCAAUCCGUGCUGCGUAAAGUUACACCGGAGGAUGCUCCGCAAAUUUCUGACGUGAUUAUGACUGCGUUAUUAUCCAUGUUCAACUCGAAUUCUUGCAAAGCCGAGGGUGUACAAGAAGAUGCUCUUAUGGCAGUCUCGACUCUGGUCGAAGUGCUUGGAGAAGGUUUCCUGAAAUACAUGGACGCGUUCAAGCCGUAUCUCUGCCUCGGUUUAAAGAAUCACGCAGAAUAUCAAGUAUGCUGCGCUGCUGUUGGCCUGACGGGCGACAUUUGUCGGUCUUUGAAGAGCAAGAUAUUACCAUACUGCGACGAAAUCAUGACUCUGUUGCUGGAGAAUCUUGGCAAUAAUACGGUUCAUCGUUCCGUAAAACCUCAGAUAUUCUCCGUUUUCGGCGAUGUUGCUCUAAGUAUAGGUCCGGAAUUCAAAAAAUACUUGGACGUGGUAUUGCAAACGUUGGCUCAAGCAUCCCAGGCGAACGUGGACAGAAGCGAUUAUGAUAUGAUCGAUUACCUGAAUGAGCUUCGCGAAGGUGUCCUUGAAGCUUACACUGGAAUAGUGCAAGGACUGCGCGGUGAAAUGUCGACAACUUGUCCGGACGCUGCGAUCGCCCUAGUGGAACCACACGUGCCCUUCAUCAUCCAGUUCAUUACGUCGAUAGCGCAGGAUCGCGAACACUCCGAAGGCAACAUUUCAGCUUCGGUGGGCUUGCUUGGUGAUUUGGUCACUGUGUUCGGAGCGAAGCUAUUGCCAAUGGUUGAAACUGAACCGCUCACGGAGUUCUUGGUAAAAGCUAGACGAUCACGCAGCGAAAAGACCAAAACACUGGCAAAUUGGACGAGUAAAGAGAUUCGGAAGCUCAAAAAUCCUGUCAAUUCCACAUCUAGUUGAUCACCCACGGUUGUACUGUCGUGCAAUUUGAUUUAACUAGAAAGCUAUCGAACACAAUACAAAGACAACAAGAUUGGAUGGUGCGGAUGCGAGUUGAUGGAUGUGCGUGAGUUCCGAAGCGAUGAUGACGAUGAAGGGGUGAUGAGUCUGCACGUGUCCCUGCUCUAACGACGGUAUUCGAGUACCGACACGUCGAGCGCAGCCCCAAAAGAACUCACUAAAUCUACUGCGAGAGCUGGCACGCGCUAUCUAAAUACUUUUGUCCGAUACCUGGUGGCUAUCUCGGAGGGCCACCCU